AGAGUUUGAUCAUGGCUCAGAACGAACGCUGGCGGCGUGGAUAAGACAUGCAAGUCGAGCGCUGAUUACAGGGUAGCAAUAUUCUGUGGUUGGAGCGGCGCAAGGGUGCGUAACACGUGGGUAAUCUGCCAUGAAGUUUGGAAUAACUUGCUGAAAGGCGAGCUAAUACCGGAUGUGACAAUUAGGAGGCAUCUUCCGAUUGUCAAAGCUGGGGACCGUAAGGCCUGGCGCUUCAUGAUGAGCCCGCGGCCUAUCAGCUAGUUGGUAAGGUAACGGCUUACCAAGGCUAAGACGGGUAGCUGGUCUGAGAGGACGACCAGCCACACUGGAACUGAGACACGGUCCAGACACCUACGGGUGGCAGCAGUCGAGAAUUUUUCACAAUGGGCGCAAGCCUGAUGGAGCGACGCCGCGUGGGGGAUGAAUGGCUUCGGCCCGUAAACCCCUGUCAUUUGCGAACAAAUUGGUUCAAUUAACACCUGAACCAUUGAUAGUAGCGAAAGAGGAAGGGACGGCUAACUCUGUGCCAGCAGCCGCGGUAAUAC
rnacentral:rRNA from 1 species